rnacentral:rRNA from 1 species
GAGAGAGACAUGCGCGCAUAUCAAUAAGCGGAGGAAAAGAAACUAACAAGGAUUCCCCUAGUAACGGCGAGUGAAGCGGGAAGAGCUCAAAUUUGAAAUCUUAAAGGGUUUCCCUUUACGAAUUGUAGUUUAAAGAAGUGUUUUCUGUUGAGGUUUUGGUAAAAGUUCUUUGGAAUAGGACAUCAUAGAGGGUGAGAAUCCCGUAUUUGACCUUUACUUUCAACUUUGUGAUACACUUUCAAAGAGUCGGAUUGUUUGGGAAUGCAGUCCAAAAUGGGUGGUAAAUUUCAUCUAAAGCUAAAUAUUGGCGAGAGACCGAUAGCGAACAAGUACCGUGAGGGAAAGAUGAAAAGAACUUUGAAAAGAGAGUUAAACAGUACGUGAAAUUGUCAAAAGGGAAGCGUUUGACACCAGUGUUGUUUUUCUGAAAAUCAAUUAAAGAACUGUUUAUGCUAAGUUGUUUAGACUUUAUCAGCUAACUGUUUAGUCUUGAGCUUUUCUUUAAUGCACUUUUCAGUUAACAAGUCAACAUCAAUUUCUUUUGCUGUAAAAAAGCUUGAGGAAGGUGGCUUGAGAUUCGUCUUAAGUGUUUAUAGCCUCUUGCCUAUGCAGUCGGAGAGAUUGAGGUCUGCAGCGUAGAUCCUUCGGGGCUAAAUGCAUUUGUGCUAAGUUAUAGCAUUUUAUAGACAACUUGUUGACUAUGAUUUGUCUUGUAGCUUACUCGCUUAUGUUAUUUUACCUACGCUUAGGAUGUUGAGCGCAUGUCUCUCUCU